GAUGAACGCUGGCGGCGUGCCUAAUACAUGCAAGUCGAGCGAAAAGACGAUGAGCUUGUUCCUUUGACGUUAGCGGCGGACGGGUGUGUAACACGUGUAUAACCUACCUAUAUUUCGGGGAUCACUUCGGGACACCGGAGCUAAUACCGGAUAAUAUAUUGAACCGCAUGGUGCAAUAGUGAAUGACGGCUUUGCUGGCUCUUAUAGAUGGAUCCGCGCCGCAUUAGCUAGUUGGUAAGGUAACGGCUUACCAAGGGAACGAUGCGUAGCCGACCUGAGAGGGUGAUCGGCCACACUGGAACUGAGACACGGUCCAGACUCCUACGGGAGGCAGCAGUAGGGAAUCUUCCGCAAGGGGCGAAAGCCUGACGGAGCAACGCCGCGUGAGUGAUGAAGGUCUUCGGAUCGUAAAACUCUGUUAUUAGGGAAGAACAAAUGUGUAAGUAACUAUGCACGUCUUGACGGUACCUAAUCAGAAAGCCACGGCUAACUACGUG
rnacentral:rRNA from 1 species